UACAGAGGUCUCAAGCGUUGUUCGGAUUCAUUGGGCGUAAAGGGUGCGUAGGCGGCGCGGUAAGUCGGGUGUGAAAACUCGAGGCUCAACCUCGAGCGUGCACCCGAUACUGCCGGGCUUGAGGCAGGUAGGGGAGAUCGGAAUUCCUGGUGUAGCGGUGAAAUGCGCAGAUAUCAGGAGGAACACCGGUGGCGAAGGCGGAUCUCUGGGCCUGUCCUGACGCUGAGGCGCGAAAGCUAGGGGAGCGAACAGG
rnacentral:rRNA from 1 species